rnacentral:rRNA from 1 species
CAGCAGCCACGGGAAUACGUAGGGUGCAAGCGUUAAUCGGAAUUACUGGGCGUAAAGCGUGCGCAGGCGGUUUGUUAAGACAGAUGUGAAAUCCCCGGGCUUAACCUGGGAACUGCAUUUGUGACUGGCAAGCUAGAGUAUGGCAGAGGGGGGUGGAAUUCCGCGUGUAGCAGUGAAAUGCGUAGAUAUGCGGAGGAACACCGAUGGCGAAGGCAGCCCCCUGGGCCAAUACUGACGCUCAUGCACGAAAGCGUGGGGAGCAAACAGGAUUAGAUACCCCUGUAGUCCCUGUCUCUUAUAC